UGGGAUGUUUACGGGUGACUCCAUGGCAUACUGAUCUUUGUAAAAGCUCUGAGUUGAGAGAAAUGCGGGUGUUGCUCAGCUACUGGAAUGUGUUGAAGUUGCCAAUGCUCUGCCCUGCGUCCCAACCAACCAAUGGAAUCAUCCACCCUGACCCCGGGUGAGGCCUGGACCAUGCGGACGCUCCGUGAAGGCAGAAUGCAUACUUUUGUACAGUCCCUGCUGCGAUCCUUCCAGGAGAGGAGCCUCUCAGAAAACGCGGUUGUUUUCCGUGUCUGCCAGGUGUUUUGCACAGCCCAAAGGGUCCUGGGCCAGCAGCUCCACAGGUGGAAUUAAAGACGCAAAGCAGGUGAACGUCUGUGAAGGGAAGGAAAGACAAAUAAGAUGGAAACAGAGACGGAGGAAAAAUAGACUCAAUCCUAGAAAACACACUGCAGGUCGCUGGAGGGGAGGGGAGGGGGGGUAACGGGGACGGGCAUGAAGGAGGGCACGGGAUGUCACGAGCACUGCUGUUCUCUCCAACUGGUGAAUCCCUGAAUUCCACCUCUGAAAGUAUAAUACACUACACUGUUAACUAAUUGGGUUUAAAUUAAGUUCAUCUUAAUUUAAAAAAAAAAAAUCCCUUGUAUCAGAGCACAUGUCCUUCUGGGCUCUCUGUUCUGCUCCUUCAGCUGAUGCCGGAACCACCCCCCAUAGGUCUGGUUUGUUUAAGUAGGUGCCACGCCUGGUCCACGGCCCAACCCAGGGCUAGAACUCACGACCCCGAGAUCACGCCUCCCAGGUGACUGUAGGUGGGGACAUCUGUGACCCCCAGUCUGCCUUGAAGAGCGGGAGGCCUGGAGGGCCCAAAGAUGGGAACUAAGGAUGUGGGAGGGUGCCUGCAUCCCCUUCUGGCCAGUGUGGGGACAGGACCCUCCCCCGAGACCCUCGGCCUUCAGGGUGAAGGGCUAAGUGCUGAUUGGACCCCGCCUGCCCCACAUUAUGAUGCGGGACCCCACUGUGGGCGGAACUGUGGUGCCCCCGGGCUCCACCGCUGCCUGGUGCCCACUCUGCGUCCGCAGACCUUCGGAGGCACUCGUGCUCCGGAUUUGGCUUGCAGCGACCCGACUCUUCUCUCCCCAGUAGCCCAGUACUCCUCUCUCCUCAGUACCCCAACUCUCCCACUCUCUCCAGUACCCCAGUACUCCCACUCUCCCCAGUACCCCAACCCUCCCACUCUCCCCAGUACCCCAGUGCAUAAAGAGGAGGCGCUCACACAGCGACAGGUCACAGCCCGCAGGGACACUCGCUGGCCUGCCCACCCACCACCAUCUCUGUGCAGGCCCCGGGCUGGGAGACGUCACCCCCGAGCAUCAGCACGAUGCAGGAGGACCUGGAGACCCUGCUGGCCUUGCAAAGGGCCAAUAUCGUGGCCCAGUACCAUCAGUUUCAAGGAGCUGCCCAGCCCCAGCCCCCGCAAGGCCAAGAAACUCCACCAGGAGACCCGGCACGCCAACAAAUAG
rnacentral:lncRNA from 1 species